UACGUAGGGUGCGAGCGUUAAUCGGAAUUACUGGGCGUAAAGCGUGCGCAGGCGGUUAUUUAAGUCAGGUGUGAAAGCCCUGGGCUUAACCUAGGAAUUGCGCUUGAGACUGGAUAGCUUGGAGUGCGGCAGAGGGAGGUGGAAUUCCACGUGUAGCAGUGAAAUGCGUAGAGAUGUGGAGGAACACCGAUGGCGAAGGCAGCCUCCUGGGCCAGCACUGACGCUGGAGGAGCGAAAGCGUGGGGAGCGAACAGGA
rnacentral:rRNA from 1 species